GGGUAAUGCAACGGUUUAGCAAGCGCUCCCGGAAAGAGUGAGAACUGGGUUCGAAUCCCAGCUGAAGCA